CCUACGGGGGGCAGCAGUGAGGAAUAUUGGUCAAUGGACGAGAGUCUGAACCAGCCAAGUAGCGUGAAGGAUGACUGCCCUAUGGGUUGUAAACUUCUUUUAUAUGGGAAUAAAACAGGGUAUGCAUACCCUCUUGUAUGUACCAUAUGAAUAAGGAUCGGCUAACUCCGUGCCAGCAGCCGCGGUAAUACGGAGGAUCCGAGCGUUAUCCGGAUUUAUUGGGUUUAAAGGGAGCGUAGGUGGAUUGUUAAGUCAGUUGUGAAAGUUUGCGGCUCAACCGUAAAAUUGCAGUUGAAACUGGCAGUCUUGAGUACAGUAGAGGUGAGCGGAAUUCGGUGUGUAGCGGUGAAAUGCGUAGAUAUAACGAAGAACUCCGAUUGCGAAGGCAGCUCACUGGACUGCAACUGACACUGAUGCUCGAAAGUGUGGGUAGCAAACAGGAUUAGAUACCCGGGUAGUC
rnacentral:rRNA from 1 species